GCCUUUUUAUGCAACUUUUACUUACCUUACACAUGCAAGUAUCUGCACCCCCGUGAGAACGCCCUCCACCCCUAAUUAGGACGAGGAGCCGGUAUCAGGCGCAACCCAUCGCCCACGACACCUAGCUACGCCACACCCCCAAGGGUAUUCAGCAGUGAUAAACAUUGUUUAUAAGCGACAGCUUGAACCAGUUAAAGUAAAUAGAGCCGGCAAAUCCGGUGCCAGCCGCCGCGGCUACACCGUUGGGCUCAAGUUGAUAAGUGCCGGCGUUAAGCGUGAUUAAAGUGACCUUUAAAAAUUAGAAUUAAACCACUACCAAGUCGUGACACACUUGUAUAUGAGAAACCCAAAAACGAAAGUUAUUCUACCCCACCCACUUGAAACCACGACAGCCAGGAAACAAACUGGGAUUAGGUACCCCACUAUGCCUAGCUGUAAAAUAUCCACCCACACUACAAACCGCCCGGGGAUUACGAGCCCAAGCUUAAAACCCAAAGGACUUGACGGUGUCCCACCCACCUAGAGGAGCCUGUUCUAUAAUCGAUUUUCCCCGAUAAACCCCACCCCUUCUAGCCACUCAGUCUGUAUACCUCCGUCGCAAGCUUACCAUGUGAACGAAACUAGUGAGCUUAAAGACCCCCCCGUCAACACGUCAGGUCAAGGUGCAGCUCACGAAGCGGAAAGAAAUGGGCUACAAUCUCUAACUUAGAACAAACGAAAGACUACAUGAAAACCAGUCAUGAAGGCGGAUUUAGUAGUAAAAAGAAAAUAGCGAGUUCUUUUUAAUUAGGCCCUGGGACGCGUACACACCGCCCGUCACCCUCUUCAAAUGC
rnacentral:ncRNA from 1 species